CUACCCGGGUAUCUAAUCCUGUUUGCUCCCCACGCUUUCGCGCCUCAGCGUCAGUUACGGUCCAGAGAGCCGCCUUCGCCACCGGUGUUCUUCCCAAUAUCUACGAAUUUCACCUCUACACUGGGAAUUCCACUCUCCUCUCCCGCACUCCAGCCUCCGAGUAUCAAAUGCCAUUCCCAGGUUGAGCCCAGGGCUUUCACAUCUGACUUCAAAGGCCGCCUGCGCGCCCUUUACGCCCAGUAAUUCCGAACAACGCUCGCCCCCUUCGUAUUACCGCGGCUGCUGGCAC
rnacentral:rRNA from 1 species